rnacentral:rRNA from 1 species
ACCGAAUAGAUACCCGGGUAGUCCACGCCCUAAACGAUGCGAACUGGAUGUUGGGUACAUUACGGUACUCAGUGUCGAAAAGCUAAACGCGUUAAGUUCGCCGCCUGGGGAGUACGGUCGCAAGACUGAAACUCAAAGGAAUUGACGGGGGCCCGCACAAGCGGUGGAGUAUGUGGUUUAAUUCGAUGCAACGCGAAGAACCUUACCUGGCCUUGACAUCUGUCGAAUCCUGCAGAGAUGCGGGAGUGCCGCAAGGAACGACAAGACAGGUGCUGCAUGGCUGUCGUCAGCUCGUGUCGUGAGAUGUUGGGUUAAGUCCCGCAACGAGCGCAACCCUUGUCCCUAGUUGCCAGCACGUAAUGGUGGGAACUCUAGGGAGACUGCCGGUGACAAACCGGAGGAAGGUGGGGAUGACGUCAAGUCCUCAUGGCCCUUACGGCCAGGGCUACACACGUACUACAAUGGUCGGUACAGAGGGUUGCGAAGCCGCGAGGUGGAGCCAAUCCCAGAAAACCGAUCCCAGUCCGGAUCGGAGUCUGCAACUC